CCUACGGGAGGCAGCAGUAGGGAAUCUUCCGCAAUGGACGAAANUNUGACGGAGCANCGCCGCGUGAACGAUGAAGGCUUUCGGGUCGUAAAGUUCUGUUGUCAGGGAAGAACAAGUACCGGAGUAACUGCCGGUACCUUGACGGUACCUGACCAGAAAGCCACGGCUAACUACGUGCCAGCAGCCGCGGUAAUACGUAGGUGGCAAGCGUUGUCCGGAAUUAUUGGGCGUAAAGCGCGCGCAGGCGGUUCCUUAAGUCUGAUGUGAAAGCCCCCGGCUCAACCGGGGAGGGUCAUUGGAAACUGGGGAACUUGAGUGCAGAAGAGGAGAGCGGAAUUCCACGUGUAGCGGUGAAAUGCGUAGAGAUGUGGAGGAACACCAGUGGCGAAGGCGGCUCUCUGGUCUGUAACUGACGCUGAGGCGCGAAAGCGUGGGGAGCGAACAGGAUUAGAUACCCUGGUAGUCCACGCCGUAAACGAUGAGUGCUAAGUGUUAGAGGGUUUCCGCCCUUUAGUGCUGCAGCAAACGCAUUAAGCACUCCGCCUGGGGAGUACGGCCGCAAGGCUGAAACUCAAAUGAAUUGACGGGG
rnacentral:rRNA from 1 species